AGCGAACGCUGGCGGCAGGCUUAACACAUGCAAGUCGAGCGGGCCCUUCGGGGUCAGCGGCCGACGGGUGAGUAACGCGUGGGAACGUGCCCUUCGGUUCGGAAUAAUCAGGGAAACUUGAGCUAAUACCGGAUACGCCCUUAUGGGGAAAGGCUUGCUGCCGAAGGAUCGGCCCGCGUCUGAUUAGCUAGUUGGUGAGGUUAUGGCUCACCAAAGCGACGAUCAGUAGCUGGUCUGAGAGGAUGAUCAGCCACACUGGGACUGAGACACGGCCCAGACUCCUACGGGAGGCAGCAGUGGGGAAUAUUGGACAAUGGGGGCAACCCUGAUCCAGCCAUGCCGCGUGAGUGAUGACGGCCUUAGGGUUGUAAAGCUCUUUUCUCCGGGACGAUAAUGACGGUACCGGAGGAAUAAGCCCCGGCUAACUUCGUG
rnacentral:rRNA from 1 species